rnacentral:rRNA from 1 species
UCGAGCGAGAACCGUAGCAAUACGGGGACAGCGGCGAAAGGGACAGUAAUGUGUAGGUACCUACCCCUGGGUUCGGGAUAGCUGCGGGAAACUGCAGGUAAUACCGAAUAAUGUCUCCGGACCAAAGGUGUGAUUCCACCUGGGGAGGGGCCUGCAUCCUAUUAGCUAGUUGGCGGGGUAACGGCCCACCAAGGCAACGAUGGGUAGCGGGUGUGAGAGCACGACCCGCGUCAUUGGGACUGAGAUACUGCCCAGACACCUACGGGUGGCUGCAGUCGAGGAUCUUCGGCAAUGGGCGAAAGCCUGACCGAGCGACGCCGCGUGCGGGAUGAAGGCCUCCGGGUUGUAAACCGCUGUCGUUGGGGAGGAAGUGCAGGGGGGUUCUCCCCUCUGUUUGACCUAUCCAAGGAGGAAGUACGGGCUAAGUUCGUGCCAGCAGCCGCGGUAAGACGAACCGUACGAACGUUAUUCGGAAUUACUGGGCUUAAAGGGUGCGUAGGCGGCGCGGUAAGUUGGAUGUGAAAGCCCUCAGCUCAACUGAGGAACUGCAUUCAAAACUACCGUGCUCGAGGGAGACAGAGGUAAGCGGAACUCAAGGUGGAGCGGUGAAAUGCGUUGAUAUCUUGAGGAACACCGGUGGCGAAGGCGGCUUACUGGGUCUUUUCUGACGCUGAGGCACGAAAGCUAAGGUAGCAAACGGGAUUAGAUACCCCGGUAGUCUUAGCUGUAAACGAUGAGCACUUGUUUGAAGGGUCCUCCAUAGCCUUUCAGACGUAGCGAAGUGUUAAGUGCUCCGCCUGGGGAGUAUGGUCGCAAGGC